rnacentral:rRNA from 1 species
AAAGGUACCCCGGGGAUAACAGGCUCAUCUUCCCCAAGAGUCCAUAUCGACGGGAAGGUUUGGCACCUCGAUGUCGGCUCAUCGCAUCCUGGGGCUGAAGCAGGUCCCAAGGGUUGGGCUGUUCGCCCAUUAAAGCGGUACGCGAGCUGGGUUUAGAACGUCGUGAGACAGUUCGGUCCCUAUCCUCUGCAGCCGGAGGAGAUUUGAGAAAAGCUGUCCCUAGUACGAGAGGACCGGGACGGACGUAGCUCUCGUGUGCCAGUUGUUCCGCCAGGAGCAUGGCUGGUUGGCGACCUACGGAAGGGAUAACCGCUGAAAGCAUCUAAGCGGGAAGCCUUUUUCAAGAUGAGAUCUCCCACCGGGAUAACCGGGUAAGGCCCGUGGUAGACCACCACGUUGAUAGGCCGGAGGUGUAAGCACGGCAACGUGUUCAGCCGACCGGUACUAAUCGGCCGAGGGCUUGGUUAC